AUUGAACGCUGGCGGCAGGCCUAACACAUGCAAGUCGAACGAGUGGCGGACGGGUGAGUAAUGUCUGGGAAACUGCCUGCUGGAGGGGGAUAACUACUGGAAACGGUAGAUAAUACCGCAUAUCAUCGGAUGUGCACAGAUGGGAGUAGCUAGUAGGUGGGGUAAAGGCUCACCUAGGCGACGAUCCCUAGCUGGUCUGAGAGGAUGACCAGCCACACUGUAACUGAGACACGGUCCAGACUCCUAAGGUAGGCAGCGGUGGGGAAUAUUGCACAAGUGUCGCAAGACUGAUGCAGCCAUGCCGCGUGUAUGAAGAAGGCCUUCGGGUUGUAAAGUACUGUCAGCGAGGAGGCGUUACCCGCAGAAGAAGCACCGGCUAACUCCGUGCCAGCAUCCGCGGUAAUAC
rnacentral:rRNA from 1 species